AGUCGAGCGGUACAGCAGAGCUUGCUCUGCCUGACGAAUGACGCACGGAUGCGUAACGCGUAUAUAUCUGCCUAUUACUGGGGUAUAGCCCGAAGAAAUUUGCAUUAACCCCCCAUAGUAUUGAGAUAAGGCAUCUUAUUUCUUUAACUCCCCGUUCGGUUAAUAAAUGAAUAGGCGUCCUAUUAGUUUGUUGGUAAGGUAACGGCUUACCAAGACUUCGAUAGGGAGGGGUCCUGAGAGGCAGAUCCCCCACACUCGAACUGAGACACGAACCACACUCCUACGGAAAGCAGCAGUGAAGAAUAUUGUGACAAUGGAAGCAACUCUGAUCCAGCCAUGCCGCGUGCAAGAAGACUGCCCUAUGGGUUGUAAACUGCUUUUAAAAAGGAACAAACCUCCCUUCCUGAAGAGGAAUUGACGGCACUUCUACGAAUAAGGAUCGGCUAACUCCGUGCCAGCAGCCGCGGUAAUAAGGAGGAUCAAGCCGUUAUCCGGAAUCAUUGGGUUUAAAAGGGUCCGCACGGCGGACUGAAUAAGAACAGGGGGGAAAUGAAAGUCUGACAGCUCAACUGUAGACACUUGCCACUGAAACUGUUAGCCUUAAGUCAUAAGGAAGAGGUUAGAAUGACGCGGUGUAGCGGUGAAAUGCAUAAAUAUCACUCAGAAUACCGAGGGCGAAGGCAGAUCACUAAUAAUGUACUGACGAUGAUGGACGAAAGCGUAGGUAACAUAACAGGAUAUAGAUACCCUGGUAGUCUCACGCCGUAAACGAUGGUUACUAGCUGUUUGGUCGAUUGAGACUGAGUGGCUAAGCGAAAGUGAUAAGUAACCCACCUGGGGAGUACGUUCGCAAGAAUGAAACUCAAAGGAAUUGACGGGGGCCCGCACAAGCGGUGGAGCAUGUGGUUUAAUUCGAUGAUACGCGAGGAACCUUACCAGGGCUUAAAUGUAGUUUGACAGAUUUGGAAACAGAUUUUUCUUCGGACAGAUUACAAGGUGCUGCAUGGUUGUCGUCAGCUCGUGCCGUGAGGUGUCAGGUUAAGUCCUAUAACGAGCGCAACCCCUGUGGUUAGUUGCCAGCGAGUCAAGUCGGGAACUCUAGCCAGACUGCCGGUGCAAACCGUGAGGAAGGUGGGGAUGACGUCAAAUCAUCACGGCCCUUACGUCCUGGGCCACACACGUGCUACAAUGGUAGGGACAGAGAGCAGCCACUUCGCGAGAAGGAGCGAAUCUUCAAACCCUAUCACAGUUCGGAUCGCAGUCUGCAACUCGACUGCGUGAAGCUGGAAUCGCUAGUAAUCGGAUAUCAGCCAUGAUCCGGUGAAUACGUUCCCGGGCCUUGUACACACCGCCCGUCAAGCCAUGGAAGCUGGGGGUACCUGAAGUCCGUUACCGUAAGGAG
rnacentral:rRNA from 1 species